rnacentral:rRNA from 1 species
GACGAACGCUGGCGGCGUGCUUAACACAUGCAAGUCGAACGAAGUGGCGAACGGGUGAGUAACGCGUAAUCAAGCUGCCCUUCAGAGGGGGAUAACAGUUGGAAACGACUGCUAAUACCGCAUACUGAAGGAGGGGAUUGCGUCUGUUUCGCUCGUUGGCGGGGUUACGGCCCACCAAGGCGAGGAUCAGCAGGCGGUUUGAAGGGGUGAACGGCCCACUUGGGACUGAGGCACGGCCCAGGAUCCUACGGGGAGCAGGCAGUGGGAAUCAUCCGCAAUGGGCGUAAGUCUGACGGCGCAACGCCGCGUGAGUGAUGACGGCCUUCGGGUUGUAAAGCUCUGUUAAUCGGGACGCGGUACCGGAAUAGAAAGCCACGGCUAACUACGUGCCAGCAGCCGCGGUAAUUC